AGAAAGAAAAAUAAUGAUUAAAAACAAAACUACUCAUCAUCAUUUUUUAUUGAUAUUAUUAUCAAUUUUCAAUUGGUUUUUUUCAUUUU
rnacentral:ribozyme from 1 species